rnacentral:rRNA from 1 species
GACGAACGCUGGCGGCGUGCCUAACACAUGCAAGUCGAACGGAAAGACCCUGCGUUUGUGCGGUUCUCGAUUGGCGAACGGGGGAGUGACACGUGAGUAACCUGCCCUUGUCUUUCGGGUAACUUCAGGAAACUGGGGCUAAUACCGGAUAGGAGCUCCUGCUGCAUGGUGGGGAUUGGAAAGUUUCGGCGUUUGGGGAUGGACUCGCGGGUUAUCAGCUGGUUGGUGGGGUAGUGGUUUACCAAGGCUUUGACGGGUAGCCCGCAUGGGAGGGUGACCGGCGUCCUUGGGCCUACGAGAGGCACCAGUAUGCAAUGGGAGGCAGUGGGGGGAAGUAUGACACAGUGAGACCACGCGUGAUGCAGAGGCCUUCCGUGCGGAAUGACCGCUUUUUGGUUAAAAACAGCUUUCGCCUGUGACGAAGCGGGAGUGACGGUACCGGAUAAAGAAGCACCGGCUAACUACGUG